rnacentral:lncRNA from 1 species
GACCAACACAUAGUAUGCGACGGGUCGGAUCCAACCCGAUCCGCAUAAAACAUUUAUAUUACAAAUUUUGCCAAAUAAAAUCAAAAAUACUGUGUAGUGCAAUGGUUUGAGGUGUGCCUUCUUUAUCUCAAAGGUCAAAGUUCAAAACUUCCUUUGCCCACUUUUUUNUUUCCUUUUACGUUUUGUUAUGCUUAUUUUUUGUUCCUUUUUUUCUUUGCUUUUUUGUUUUUUCUUUUUGUUGCUUGUUUUUAGUUUUUUUUGUUUCAAUUUUUUAGUUUUUUUUUUCUUUUUGUUAGCUCCUUUAUUUUCUUCUCUUUUUUGUUUAAUUAUUAUUUUCAACACUUUUUUUAAAAAAACUUUUUUCUACUUUUUUUAUUCUUUCUUAAUAUUACCUUUUUUCCAUGUCAAAGGUUAUUUUUUCUUACAACUAUAAUUACUUAACCAAAUAAUUAAAAUUAUAAGUUUUCGUGAGUAAAAAUAACAAUUUUCGUGAAAAAAAUAAUAAUUUUGAACUAUUACAUUUCUUCAUAUGAAUAAUUAUUUUCUUU